AUGCUUUGGCAGCACAUAUACUAACAUUGGAACAAUACAGAGAAGAUUAGCAUGGCCCCUGUGCAAAGAUGACACACAAAAUUUGUGAAGCAUUCCAUAUAUAU
rfam:Myotis brandtii contig217299, whole genome shotgun sequence.